ensembl:lncRNA
CUUUUAUUUAAUUGGUUUCAAUAAUCUGUGUGCCAAGUAGUUUACUCUCCUAUCUAGUCCUUUUAAAAACUGUGUGGCUACUGCUAUCCUCCGGAUUUCACAGACAAAGGAAUGCAAGUGCAGAGAGGUCAAGGACCUUGCCCAAGGUCACUUGACUGAUAAAUGGCUGCUAUACAGCCUUCCUAAUGUUAUCAGGUCACCAAUUUAAGACACUAUGGAUUUUCACAAGGGAGAGAGUCUGGUGGUUUUUUGUAAAUGAUGACUUUGUUUAGUUUCUGUCUUCUCCGUGGAAUAUACACAUCCUGAGAGUAGAGUCUCUGCUGGAUGCAUUUGUUGACUAUGACUAAGCCCUGGCUUGCCUCAACUGCUUCUUCCCUAGCCAUUGUGAUGCCACUCAACACCGGCAGAUAUAGCUUCUCCCUGACCCUGGUCCAAUGAGAGCCCCACCCAGAGCACUGCAGAACGGGAGCCAUGGCCUUGUCUUCCAUUCAUGCUUCUUGGCAGGGCCUUUGAACACUGAGCAGCCAGCUUGGCCUCCCUGCUCCAGACCACUGAGUAAGGGAGCUUCCAACGUGGAUCCCAGGCCUCUUACACAGCCUGUGUCCCCUGCGCCUGGAUGGACUGCCUAGCCCUGGAUGGUUAACGUUGCCUCAUCUUUGAUUCCCACAUAGUGCUCGAUGCAUGGAAGGUGCUGGAGAAAUUUGGCUAAAUGAAUCACCAUUGGCUUGUUAAGAGCAUGCCAUUGGAGGGAAAAGUAUUUAUUAUAAAACAAACCUGAAAAGGGAAAGGGAAGACUGAGUGCUGGAAGUGAGAAACAAGAUUGGAGAUCAGGGAGAUCGAGUUGGAAGAAUAUCCAUAGGAAGGAGAAAAAAAGCAUCAAGAAGCUCCAUAAAUCACAGCAGCAGUAUUUUUACCUUCAUUGUCCUUCUUUAUUUUAUGUCCCUGGCACCAAACAAUUUAUCAUUCCCAUUUCAUGCUAAGUGCUACAAAAAUAGCAAUUGGCCCAACAUUUGAAUGGGAGAUAGCAGUUUCGAAAUAAUAGCAAAACGUGAAACUAUCUGAAUUCUGGAAUUUUCUGUAGUGUCCUCUCCACCCCCACCUCCAAUUGCAGGUGUCUUUGCUCUGCAUGGACACAAAAAGGCCAAGGGUAACAGACCUAGAAGGGAGGGGGAACCUUUUCCUGAUAUUUAGUGGCAAAGCUGAAUUUGGGUUAAUCUCACUCUUACAUUCCUCUAUUUCUGCCCUGCACAAGGCAUUGUAGCCAGAAAACCCAAGAUCACCUUCCGCUUCUAUUGUAGGAUGUAGGGGGUGUUGAGAGGGUAGGUGGCAGGUGUUGGUAUUGGUGGGCAGCCCAGAGCUGAGCUGUAACAUUUCCAAAGCUAGCAAGGGGGACGGGAGAGGAGGGGGGAAGGAAGAGGAGAGGGUUUGAUGCUUUCACAAAGCCUUAAAGGCAAAAAUACUUGGACAAGAAAGCUUUUUAAAGCAAUGACUAUAUAGCACUCCCCCAUUCCAGGUCUUUUCAGAACUCAUUGAGUGAUUAGAGUUUUAACUCAUUAUUUAGAAAUAAAUACUUGGAAACCACUCUUCAAAGCCGAUACUUUAAAAUCCACUUCCCCACCUUCAGAAUCUUAUUUAUACUUGAAAGGAAGGAUUACUUUUUCCUUUGAAAAGUAAACUUUUCUGUCAGCAAAAUAAUUACAGCCAGCACAUUUCCAGUGGAUGAGAUUUGGGAAGCCCCUCAUUCCUUCCCCUUUGCUUGCGGCCAUCCAGCAAGGACUGAACCAAAGAACCCCAGCCUCAUUCAAUCAGUCAUACUCAUCAUCAAUUUCCCAGCAUUUAAUGUGUCCCAGAGAGGAUGCUAAGAGAUUUACAUGUAGAAUCCCACUUAAA